GGUGCUGUGGCAUAGUGGGUAAAGCUGCAGCCUGCAGUGCUGGCAUCCCAUAUGGGUGCUGGUUCGAGUCCUGGCUGCUCCU
rnacentral:tRNA from 1 species